ACCAGAUGAACAACUCUACCGCGUCGUUUCGAACGUAUUCUCCACUGUUCUUAUUCAGAUAUGAGCCAACAACAAAGAGCAGCUGCUCUUUUAAGGCAGGCAGCAGAUUUGUUGAAUGUCAACACAUGUGACAGGAGUACACAAUACCAACACCAGUAACCUCUGUCAGUAGCACUAGCGCUGCAAAGGCAAUUUUUGCACCCGACAGUAAAAGAAGGAGGCAUGGACAUGCAAAUACAGGAACUGUGGCAGUGUCAGCACUGGACUAUUACACCCAGGUGUUAUCAGGUUCCUGGUUACAACUUAGACCACCUGUUGAAGGAGCUGGACGUUACCAGGGAGAGACACUAGCACAAAGGUGAAUCAGACUAACUGGAGCUACAAGCAGUUUAAAAAAAACUUCAGGGACCAGUCUAAAUGUUCUGAUAAUGAUAAUAGUGUGUGUUAUGUGUUUUAUUGCUUAGAAUUUUGGCUACUCUGUAUCCAAUAUCUAAGGUGGCAUUUUAUUAAGAUUUAGAAAAAAAUAAGGCCAAUCUUAAUAAGAAAUAUUCUGCUAGUUGGAACAUAUUGAACUGUUUAUUCAAUCAUGCAGCAUUUUGUUGUUUACCAUUUGAGCAUUUGGCAUGCUUAAGCUCAACAUAGUAUUAGAGAAAUUGAUUUAUUUCACAUUAUUUUACUUAUCUUGCAAUGAUUUUACAAGAAUCUUUUUCACACAUCUUGAAGAUUGGUAAGCAGAUAUGUUCUUGCUAGAUUUCAAUGGUGAAGUUGUUUAGUAAAAAUUUCUUGCCUUUCUUUUUUGUUGUGCUGACAUUUUGACAUUAGUUAUAAUUUGUUUGCAGUGAACAGCCAAGGUUAAGUAGACCUGGUACUUGCAUUCAAUCAAAUUGAGCCGCGUUCUGGGGAAAAUGGCUUUAUGCAAGUGUGUGAAUUGUCGUCCCAGAUAAGCUUAUGUGGUCCACACAUGCUUAUCUGAGACAACAUUGUCGGCCUAGUGGAAUUUUUUUUCAAAAUCUCAUAAAACCAGAAAGUGUCUUUCCUGAUUAGCCUGUGCGGACCGUACACGUUAAUCUGCGACAACACUUUAGGAACAUGCAUUAAAUCCCAUUUUCCCAGAGCAAGGGUCAAUUGUAUUUAUUUCCUUUCACAUGCUCUUUAUUUUAGGAUCAUACAGAUUCUAAAUGCCUAUUUAUUGUAAGCUGAAUAUUUAGUCAUAACCAAAAAGUGUCAUAAGAUUUUUGUUAAGACAGGACCCUGAAUUCUAGCAUUUAAUGAGGUUAUGUGCUUUUCCACACUUAUUCUAUGUCUUAUAAGUAAAAGGUGUACACUAGCAAUAAUAUAAUUUGCUACCAAAAAUGUUUUCCAUAUAUAUAACUUCUUUUACAAGAAAGACGUUAACAUGUGUAAAAAAAGUAAGCAAUCAAAAUGACGGGUAUUAAUUUUUGUGUGGUUUUACGCAUUUAUUUUACACAAAUUAUAAAACCAUGAUGAAGUAUACGUAAUUAACAAAUAUAAAUCAGUUUAUUUAUUGUGCAUCCAGGCAUUUACAUAUAACCAGACAGUAGUGCAAUCUCACAUGUAUAUGUAGGUUUUAAGCUCUACUGGCAGAAGGCCUGAAGAGCUUAUAUCAUGGCAUGGUUUCCGUCGUCCGUGCUUUAGUUUUUUUCUUGUUUACGCGCUAAAGUCCACAGUUUUCAUCUGAUUCUUUUCAAACUUGUUCAGUGUCUUUAUAUUAAUGAGGACUCGAACCCUAUUGAAAAUGGGUUACAUCAGAGUAAAAAGUCCAGAAUUAUCUCCCCUUGAAUUUGAGAAAAUUGUGAAAUAAGGCUUGUUUACGCAAUAAAGUCCACAGUUUUCAUCCAAUCAUUACCCAACUUGCACAGUGUCUUUAUCUGAAUAAUGAGUCAAACCCUAUUGAAAAUGAGCAAUAUCGGAGUUAUAAGUCCAGAAUUAUCUCCCCUUGAAUUUGAGAAAAAAAUGAAAAUUCAGUUUUUUUAUGUGAUAAAGUCCAUAAUUUUCAUCCAAUUCUUGGCAAACUUGCACAGUGUCUUUGUAUCAAUGAGGACUCAAAUAGCCAGUAGAGCGAUUGAGGCUCUCAUGGGCCUCUUGUUCACUUAUAUUGCACCAGUGUAUAGAUUGUUUUGAAAAUAAUUGUAUGAUCAUGUUAAAGUUGCAAAUGUCUAGCCAUAAGCAGUAUGUGUGGGAUACACUAGCAACAGGACCAGAGAGAUCAUUUUGUUUUCAGAUGAUGUUUAUGUAAUGUGUGUUUCAUCCUUAUAUUUAUUUAACCAGUAUGCCAUGUAAUACAUAUAUUUCCUAAUAAAAUUGUAAAAAAGG